GGACUACAGGGGUAUCUAAUCCUGUUUGCUCCCCACGCUGUCGCGCCUCAGCGUCAGUACCGAGCCAGGUGGUCGCCUUCGCCACCGGUGUUCUUCCCAAUAUCUACGAAUUUCACCUCUACACUGGGAAUUCCACCACCCUCUCUCGGCCUCAAGCCUGGCAGUAUCAAGCGCAGUCCCCAGGUUAAGCCCAGGAAUUUCACGCCUGACUGGCCAAGCCGCCUACGCGCCCUUUACGCCCAGUAAUUCCGAGCAACGCUAGCCCCCUUCGUAUUACCGCGGCGGCUGACAC
rnacentral:misc_RNA from 1 species